UACGGAGGGGGCUAGCGUUGUUCGGAAUUACUGGGCGUAAAGCGCACGUAGGCGGCUUUGUAAGUUAGAGGUGAAAGCCCGGAGCUCAACUCCGGAACUGCCUUUAAGACUGCAUCGCUUGAACGUCGGAGAGGUAAGUGGAAUUCCGAGUGUAGAGGUGAAAUUCGUAGAUAUUCGGAAGAACACCAGUGGCGAAGGCGACAUCCUGGACCAACACUGACGCUGAGGAGCGAAAGCCAGGGGAGCAAACGGG
rnacentral:rRNA from 1 species